AUUUUACACAGACUGAAUACAGAAGAGACAAAGGACGAGUCUGCAUCAUUCCAACUCUGAUAAAGUGCAUGGCCUUCGGAAUUCCUGUCCCCGCUCAUGGAGCCAUUUAUUGGAUACUGCAAAAACAUAAAGACACAGAACAUCAGAGGCCCUUGGAAUCACCAGUACUACUCCAGUCGCUUCACUUAAUUGUGGAGAGAGGAGUGGUUACACUGGAUUAAAAACCCCGCUUACCUUUUUGGGCCAGACACUAGCUCCUACUUCAGGAAAGACGGUAGCUCCCCCUGCUGACACAUCGCUCAUCUGGAAAGGUGGGAAAAGGCACAGCAUGCAAGAUGCCUGCGUCUCGGCUCUGGGGAAAGAAGUUCUCUCUGCAUCGCAGGCCCACACACGCUAAGCUGCAAUGCGAGUUUUCCUGCGCUGCCUACAAUGCCUUCCUGGCAGCAGAGGGUAUUAAGCUCUUGCCCCUGCAGCCGCGUUUGCCUUAUUCAGCAAUGCUCCGCACUGCAGCCACCGCUGUGGGAGCUUCAGCGCCUUGGACGCAUGUUAGCCAAUGCUGCCGUCGUCUGCCACAAGUGUCAGGAGCGCAGGCUAUACGCUGAGUUUUUAGACAGUUUAGCUGUAUAUCCUUCAGCGAUUUUAAACAGAAUAGCUUUACAUGGCCAGUACCUUGGCCAGCUAGAAUAUUUCUAAAUGUUUCCUCAGAUUUAGAAUAAAGGGAAUGCCCUUUGCUCUGUUAAGAACUAUCAGUCAGCUCCUUAGAAUAAUUCCUUUUUAAUUAUAUUUCUGAAGAAAAACCUUGUUGCUCUGUAAUACCUAAAAUGUUUAUCAGUUCAGCUGGUGGUUUAGAGGGCUUUCUCCACUGACACGGAUUAGAAAAGCUGAAGAGCUACAAAAUUUAAUACACAUUAAAGAAUAAAAACUGUGCCACAGCCAAGAGGCCCAGGCUUCACGAGGUGACUAUCUCUCCUCCAUCUCUUUACUUGCCCGUGCAAAGUCAAAGUGGGGUUCAUACUGUCCUCCCACUCCAUAAUUUGCCACCUGAAAAAGAGAAACACAGUGCUUGUGAAGAAGAAAGAGGUGGAGACAGAAAACAGGACUUACCCUUCCAAAAUCAAAAUGAGGCUCAUACUGGCCUCCUACUCCGUAGUUGGCUACCUACAGUGAAAGGAGAAGCACAAAAUCUAGUAAAGCAGUAUUUUAUCCAGACAAGAAUUUGACCGUCAUCUACAACCUUUUGACGGAUUAAGUUUAAAAAUCAAGCCAGAGGAAAUGACAAGCCUCUGUCAGCUAAACAGUGCUGGCUGCAGCAAUGUCCUACUGGGUUUAUUCCCUUCCCCAGCAUCAGCUUUCCCUGAAAGCUGUUUCUGUCCACCCCCAGCUGAAGGGCAAAGACAUUCUCCCAUUUCCAAGUGCCUGCUACUGCCUGAUCUGGUGACCUUCAGGUCAUAGAACCUGACCAUGAAACUUCUGAAACUCCUGAAGACCUGGACAGCCAGAGGCCCCCAAAGAGCCCCAUCAUCUUUGGCUACAAGAGCAGCAGCAUGUCCAAGCCAAGCACUGCAAGGUGCAGUGUACUCUGCGUAGGAAUCCGGUACUUCCCCAGGGUAGAAAAAUAUUUUUCUCCUAUAGAAGCUUUACAGACUAUAUUCUCUUCAAAAUAGAUCGUGGGUCUU